rnacentral:rRNA from 1 species
CUACGGGCCGCAGCAGGCGAGAAAACUUUGCAAUGUGCGAAAGCACGACUAGGUUAAUCCGAGUGGUUUCUGCUAAAGGAACCUUUUGACAGUCCUAGAAACACUGUUGAAUAAGGGGUGGGCAAGUUCUGGUGUCAGCCGCCGCGGUAAAACCAGCACCUCAAGUGGUCAGGAUGAUUAUUGGGCCUAAAGCAUCCGUAGCCGGCUCUGUAAGUUUUCGGUUAAAUCUGUACGCUCAACGUACAGGCUGCCGGGAAUACUGCAGAGCUAGGGAGUGGGAGAGGUAGACGGUACUCGGUAGGAAGGGGUAAAAUCCUUUGAUCUAUUGAUGACCACCUGUGGCGAAGGCGGUCUACCAGAACACGUCCGACGGUGAGGGAUGAAAGCUGGGGGAGCAAACCGGAUUAGAUACCCCUGUAGUC